rnacentral:rRNA from 1 species
GACGAACGCUGGCGGCGUGCUUAACACAUGCAAGUCGAACGGAAAGGCCCUGCUUUUGUGGGGUGCUCGAGUGGCGAACGGGUGAGUAACACGUGAGUAACCUGCCCUUGACUUUGGGAUAACUUCAGGAAACUGGGGCUAAUACCGGAUAGGAGCUCCUGCUGCAUGGUGGGGGUUGGAAAGUUUCGGCGGUGGGGGAUGGACUCGCGGCUUAUCAGCUUGUUGGUGGGGUAGUGGCUUACCAAGGCUUUGAAGGGUAGCCGGCCUGAGAGGGUGACCGGCCACAUUGGGACUGAGAUACGGCCCAGACUCCUACGGGAGGCAGCAGUGGGGAAUAUUGCACAAUGGGCGGAAGCCUGAUGCAGCAACGCCGCGUGCGGGAUGACGGCCUUCGGGUUGUAAACCGCUUUCGCCUGUGACGAAGCGUGAGUGACGGUAAUGGGUAAAGAAGCACCGGCUAACUACGUG